GGAGGGCGUGGAGAGGAACCCGGCGGCAGCCAUUCCGCCGCCGAGCCCCACGCCGACGACGAACCCCUUCUCGCUCGUCAUCCUGUUGAUCUGGUUCAGGGCCGGUUGGAGGAUGUUGUAGAGGACCCAGAGGAUGGCGGGGACGAGGGGCAGAAGAAGAGCCAGCCCCCGGUUGUCGCCCUCGGCGAUGUCGGCGAUCUGCUGUGCCGCGAGGGCCGCGUCGGAUGUUCCCAGGGCGGCGAAGACGGCGCCAGCGAGGGCCGCAGGCACCGAGAGCCGCUCGGCGGGCAUGCGAAGGGCGAGCAGGCUCUUG
rnacentral:lncRNA from 1 species